rnacentral:lncRNA from 1 species
AACAAUGGGGUGAAAUAGGCCUUACUUGCCCCCAUUUUAUAGCUGAGGAAACUGAGUUUCAGAGAGGUCAAGUAUUUCACUCAGGAUCAUAGAGCUAAUAAAUGAGAGCCAGGUUUUAAGCCUGCCUGUGUCUCUCUAAUCCAAAAUAUAUGUGCUCUCCAUUGUACGUCCUAUGCCUUAGGGAGACUGAUUAGUGAAAGGGAAACUAGGAAAUGCUUGAGUAUUUCCAGUCUUAAUAAUAUUCUAGGAAACUAGGAAAUGCUUGAGCAUUUCCAGUCUUAAUAAUAUUCAGUUCAAAUUCCAGGAAGGGCAGUGAUUUUCAAACUUCUUAACUUUUCUGUUUUAAAUCUGCAAAAGAAAACCUGCCACAGACCAGAGAGGAGAAAGUUCCCCCUAAAUUGUGUCAAUCUUUGCAGAUGAUAAAGCAACUCUUUCACUUCUGCAGGAUUGUCAAGUGGGAUGUCCAAACCUGAGAAACAGCUAUUUGGUUCUUUACUCUGCCCCUGAAUAGAGCCGGAGCUUCAGGCUUCAGGGAGGGACAAUUGCCGUCAAAAGUCGUCAUGCCCGGGAGCAGGUGUUGCUCAGAAUUGUGAAGACGUUAUGAACCAAGGUGACUUGACUCCAGAGUUACAACCCCACUAAUGAGAAGACACUUCCAACGGACUCAGACCCCAGCAAUAUCUUUCCCUGGCACUGCGCGUGGCUGAUCAAAGCGAGAAGCUUUGCGAACUCCCCAGAGGGUGCACGCUUCCCAUCUAACCUUUGGUGAAGGGAAGUGACGGC